rnacentral:rRNA from 1 species
CAGUCGCCACGGUAAUACGAAGGUCCCGAGCGUUGUUCGGAAUCACUGGGCGUAAAGGGAGCGUAGGCGGCGUGGUAAGUCAGAUGUGAAAUCCCGGGGCUCAACCCCGGAACUGCAUCCGAUACUGCCGUGCUAGAGGAUUGGAGAGGUAGCUGGAAUUCUUGGUGUAGCAGUGAAAUGCGUAGAGAUGUGGAGGAACACCGAUGGCGAAGGCAGCCCCCUGGGCCAAUACUGACGCUCAUGCACGAAAGCGUGGGGAGCAAACAGGAUUAGAUACCCCAGUAGUCCCUGUCUCUUAUAC